rnacentral:lncRNA from 1 species
UUUUAUGAGAUGGUGUCCUGCAUCUUUUUCAGUAGAGAUUUUCAAUGUGAACAAAAAUUAAAGCACACAUAUGACAAGAAAACCAGGCAAAUCAUGUUAUUACCCAGUAUGGCUAUUCUUGUGCUGUUUUUGCAGCUUUAGUAUGCAUCCAAAAAAGUUGAGGUUAAAUGCGGAUGGUGCAGAGUGUUUAUCUUCAUCUCCAUUCAAUUUUUUUGACGUUUAGGUUCAUAACAGUAAAAUAUACAGUUGUGUGGAACUGAAUUUUCUACUAAGUACAGUUAUCUAUCAAAAAAUGUAUUUUCAGCUACUCAUAGCUGGAACUAUGCUGUCAAAACUACUAUAAUCCACAAAACACACCAUUUCUUUGUCUAAGAGGUAGUAUGUGAGCUACUGAAGCCAGUUGCCUGUUGAGUUGAAUUUGAGUGAGUAGUGCUUCAGUCCUGUGUGAUACAAAAAAUGUCUUGAUGUGUUUUUCUUGUAGCUACAACAUUCCAUGCAGAAGCAGUGCAAUUCCCAUGAGUAUUUUAAAUGAACAUAAUUUUACCUGUUCUCUUGGUGCAUGUUGCAGAAUGAAUCAUGUUCUAUUUUGUGGUGUUUUGGCUGCUCACUUUCUUAAACUUAUUAUGUUUACAUUAGAUACCUACUCAUUCCCACAAAUUUGUUUCAAAUGUGACAAAGCUCAACUACUACUUUUCACAGUAGUUUAUUUGGUUUUCACUAAGUUGUAAACUUUAACUGCCUCACAUAUUUUAAUGCACUGAUUUGUAAUUUUUGUAAAAUCCAUGAGAUCCCAAAUUGAAAUUCUUGUUCGAGGAGUUCGGAGAGCUUAUAUUUCACUCUCAAAUGCACCACAUUUUAUUCAAGUUCAUUCAGAGGUUGUCUGAUGAGAGCACUUAUGCUUUUCACAUGUAUUGGAAGAAGGAAAUCAACGUUACUUGUAAGAUAAAGCUUCUUUUUAAGAAGUGCACUGCAUAGAAUUCACGCAUGAGUGCACAAUGCUUAGUGGCAUGCUGCAGGCUUAGGUGGCAAGACAUCCGAGCUUUUUUUGUUACUUCUACCAGUCCAUGAGCUUUUGUGGACAGGCCUGCUUGCUUGUAAGUGGGAGAGGGGUCUAGAAUACUAGCUACUGGAUGCAUAUAGCAGGUAAAGGACUUGUGGUUCUACAAUGCUCACAUGUUCUACAUAUAGCAGUUUGCAUUCAUUGCAUAUGCAUGAAGGAUUAUUAGGCUACCACCCCGUAAAGCACUUGUAAUGUAUGAUAUGUGGCUCCAAACUCUGGUAUCUGUGAAUAAGCAACAAAUAGUCACAGCUAAAUUUGUGCUCUGGCAAAAUAAUGCUGCACCUUCUUAGGCUCCUUGAAAAAGUUUUUAUUUAUUUACUCUUCUCGGGGAAGGGAAGAAAAAAUAAUAUGGAAAUGGCUUUUGGCAAAUGCUAAAUACUACCUUUGUAACUUCCCAGACAACAACGCAAAGGCAUCCUCAGUAAGUCUCUGGGAUGUCGGCAUCAGGACAUUCAUAUAUCCUAAGGAUGUCCUGUACUAAUCCUAAAAGGCUCCUGAUCAAGUCCAUUUGUCUGUCCCUAGUAGAUACUGAGGACAUAGCAGGUACAUAAUUUGAGGACCAUUUUAGGAUGAUGUCGGAACACGUUCCAAUGCACUAAUGUUUGACACUGUAAUUAGAGGACAAUUAAUUAUUUAAAUUGGGUUAAUAAAUGCUUGAUGUGGCUUGAAUAUGAGAACCCAUAUUGUAGUGCUCCGUUUUGAUGUUUAUAUGCUUUCAUGUGCUCUAAAAGCUCUGAAAUCUUGCGCUUUUCUUUCUUGCCAUCGUUAAAAAGCAGUUUGGUAUCAAUUGAACUACCUCAGGUGCAGCAUCACCUAUAUCACAGCCUUUGAAAUCUGCUUUUGCCACUUCAAGAAAACCGUCUGUGGUAGUUGUGCUUUGGAUACCAUGACCAAUCAUAAUAAUGUAAUAAUAAUAAUAAGAAGAAGAAGAAGAAGAAGAAGGAAAAUGUUUAAAACGAAAUAGAGUACAAAUAAACAUUUUUUUUUUUUUGCAGGUCUCCAUUUGUAUUUUGUCAUGGUUGUAUACCAAAUUUCGUUUGGGCAAGCAUGAAGCUCCCAAAUAAACAUCUGGAAGCAACGUCCUGAGAAUAUCCUGCUGAGGGUAUUGCUCGGAUAUAUGUCAAGUUAGGUUCGCAAUAAGUCCAACAGUAGAUAUAUGUCUAAAAUUCAUCGUGGGCGUUACUGUGGACGUCCUCAGUACGUCCCAUAAAAAGCUAGGACGUUCGGAUCUUUCCGGGACAUCCACAGGAUGGUUUGUGUUGUCUUGGUUGGUUUCAGAGGGAGGAAAGAAGUUGCAGCAAUGAAUUUAGCAAUCUAAAAGCUGGCUCAUGUUCAUUUUUCAUGGAACCCUAGGAAGAGGAUGUAGUUUCAGUUUUUCAGGCUAAGCAUGUAUGCUCGAUAACACAUACUUAUUUAAUGGCAAACUUUUCUUUAUUAGUCAGAAGAUCAUAUGCUAUUUAUGGCAGAAGUGUGCAACACUGGGCUAGUUGGUUUGGCAUGAUCUAUAAAAAGGUUAAAACAGCGCAAGAAUGACGACACACAGAAGAAGAAACACACACCACAGGCGCUGACUAACGACCGAAGUUUAUUCCAAUGAGUAAGGGU